GUAAUAUACUCAGGUGAAUAUGAUGUCUGCAUGUGUGUAUAUCCACAUUACUCUGAGUGUAUAUCCACACCGGGCGAGCCAGAAAACUAUGCCCGGCCACGGUGGGAAUCGAAUCUACGACCUUUGGAAUACUAGCCCAAUGCUCUGCCAACUGAGCUACGCGGUCAGGUCGGUCCGAGUAAGUGAUAUUUCGGAACAGAAUCUAGUUCCUUCUUAUUCUAUUGACUACGAGUAUGACCCAAUUAAUAUAAGCGACCCAUGAUGAACUACGAGAUGCCUGCAGAGGUACGAUGACGCCACUUUGCAAGGGGAAAACCAUUUGACUUUUUAGGGGAAGGGUUAUCGUGAACGGUGGAAAAAAUAUGCAUUCGGUCAACCUCGUAUUCGGGUAAAUCAAUGGUUGGCCUUUUAGGCUUCGCUCACACUUUCCGGAUAGUUUUCCGUAGCGACGUGAAAAAACAACUAUCCGUACCUUUUAGGAACGCUAUUUUCAGAGGAAUUGACCAUUUGCGUAAUAGACUAAAUUUUGAACUAAACAAGUCUAGACAAAAAUUUCAUCACAGC